AAAUAAUUCACAAUAGACAGGCAACCAGUUAUAUACACAGAGACAACAGAAAGACAAAGCAUUGGCGUCAAUUUGUAAAAGAUUGGAUGGCCUUUGGACCUAUUUCAAAAACAAUUAUUUACAUGCUGACAUUUGACAAAAUAAUUUUUUAAAAAUUUAAUUAAUUAAUUUAUAAUCUAAUAUAGCAUAGCAAAGUAAAGAUAAGUGAAGAGAAAGCCAUGCAGGCCGGCCUUAUACUCUAGAUCAGGAAUAGCAUGAACUUUGAAUUUAUAAUGAAAUUUUCUGGAGAACAUACUAGAAGUUACAUUGUGGAACCUUUGAGCACCACCAUCUAUGUACGGGCAGUUCCAGAGGUUUUGCAGGAAUUUCAAAGUGGCGAUCCAGGGAUACCGGUAUCAAAGUUGGAUAGCAUCUGUCCUGUUACUACAAAUCCGCAAAACAAAGACCUGUGUCCAGGAGAAUUCUAGUUGUUUAUUGGUUUGACAUCGACGUUUAUGCAUGGCAACAUUUUUUUUCACGCGAACUAGAUUAAAGACUUUUUUUUCAAUAUUUUUACUGUAUUCCCCGUCGCUCUGCGACUGAAUUUUUAAGGAUGGUUCCACAGAAAUAAAUGGGAAUAAUUGUG
rnacentral:sRNA from 1 species